UUGAAGUUAUGCCAAAUGGUCUUUGAAUUGAAAAAAUCGCCCGGUUUGAUUAAUACCUAUGUCCCCAUGUGAGGUAACUUACCGAAUCAAAAUGCAAGUUGGCCUUCGAAGCGUUGGUCCCUAAAACGGUAUGAGCCAGACCUGGUGUCCAUCGUCUUCUUUCACGGAAGCCUUCAAUUCUCCUCGGAGAUCAAUCAAAAACCAGAGCCGACCAAGUAAACUGGAAAAUCCACCGAGGGAAAGCGGAGAUGGUGGGAGGUGUGCGAGGAGCGAGCAAGAGGCGACCGGAUGCUGUCCGGACGCAGGCAGUGAUCGUCAGCUCUCGCCAGAGAAUUGGACGACGUCGUCGCGCAAAUGGGGAGAGUGAGAGCCACGCGACCUCAAAACGCACAAGAAUCGGAGCAAAAAGCCAGUUGGAUCCACCAGCUUCGGUCAUCGCUGCCGACGCCGUCCGAGACUCCGUCUGGUUAGUUGAACAACCGAUCGUGACCGAUGAUCGCUCCUCGCUGAGAUAAAAGCUCUCUGUUCUGUUUUGAGCGUCGCACGUGUGAAAUAGAGACCGGGAGCUUUGUUGUUUGCCAGCAAUGAAAAUUGUUCACGUCCGAGAUUAUAUUACUAACAACUGCGAUUCGGUCAUGAUGAUCUCGUGCUGAUUGGGUCGUGAUUCUCGCCCUCUCGUUGCUGGACUGUGCCAUUUCAUCGAAUGCACAUUAAGUGUCUGGUGAAAAUGCCUGAGCCGUAUUAGUCUGAAUACGGCUUUGAAUCUGACUGACAUCGUCUUUGUCUGCUUGAAUGAUUCACCGUACCAGUUGCAUAGGUUAAGUAGAUCUAAACUGAUAUCCACUUUUGAGUCCAUUCCCAAAUGUCUCGGUCUUGAUAGGCUUCCGGUGCUCUAAGGCGGAUAAACUCGACUCUGUGAAAUUAGCUAAAAAUGAUUAUAUGCUGAAUUGUAAAUACUCUGUCGAUGGUUGCUGGCAUGCUCAUGAAGCAUAGGCUGAUCAUGUAGACUAAUACAUGGUAGUGCAGAUCCCAUUCGCUGUACAUAUCUUUUUCUAAUAGUGAAUUCCAAAUCAUGUCUUCUCUGCGAGUGGAAAUGAAUAUGUCUUUAGCGGAUGUAAAAAUGCAAUGCAAAUUUGUGUUUGCAUUCAUGGUGGAUUGUGGUUGUUGCUUACUGGUUAUAUGUUAUCUAAUGAUGUUGAGGUUUUACUUGGAGCUCUUGCAUAAAUAACUGGGAAAUUUCACCAUGUACGGUUUAUACCAUUAUUUGUACAAUGUGAUGAAGAUAAUCACCCCAUUUUUUAUUUUCAAAGAUUUUGAAAAGAAAAUGUUAUUUUUAUUAUGAAUUAAUUUAACUAGUGUCGUAGGAAUGUUGUCGAUAAUCACCCCAUUUUCUUGUUAUAAUAAGUAACUUAAUCUGCUGAGGACAUCAGAUUCUUUUAUGCUGUUGAUGUACAGAUGGGUUGUUGGAGGAGUCUUUUCUGGGCCCAUGGCAGAUCUAGGUUUUCCUGCAGUCAGUUUGGUGAUGCCAUCAUUUUUUAUACCUCCUAAAAGCAAAACAAUUAUGUGUUGCCAUUUGCUACUUCUGUUGGUGUCAAUCACCACAAGCACCUGGUUGGGUGUGCUCUAGUUGCUGAUGAAUCAAAGGAGCCCUUCAUAUGGUUGUUUGAGACAUGGCUCAGGGCAAUGUCUGGCUGCCAUCCCAAGUUGAUAAUAGCUGAUCAUGAUGAUUCCAUUCUGCAAGCGCCUGAACAGGUUUUUCCUUCGAGUCAUCAUCGAUUCUCAAUGUGGCAAAUUAAGACAAAAGAACUGCUCUUCUCAGCAAAUAUGGCUUAAGGGAAAAUGCUUGGCUGAAGGAAAUGUAUGAAAAGCGUGAAAAUUGGGUUCCACUGUACUUACGUAGAACAUUUUUUGCUGGAAUUCCCAUUGAUGGAAGUCUAGAGGUGUUUUUUGAUCCAUAUUUAGAUUCUCAAACUUGAAGAAUUGUAGUGAGAUAUGAGCAAGGUUUGGAGCAAUGUUGUGGCAAUGAAAGGAAAGAAGAUUAUAAUUCAUUCAACUUGCAGGCAUUUUUGCAGACAAAUGGACGGAUGGAAGAGCAAUGUAGGAGGCUUAAUACCCUUUCCGUUUUCAAAGUCUUCCAGAGGGAACUUUAACAAAGCUACAGUUAUCUGGGUGCCAAGAUUCAUGAACAAGGGGCCAUCAACAGAUAUUUGAUCCGCUGAACUUUAGCACUGGACAAGGAUUUAGAUGCUCUCAUGCAUCAGAUGGAUGAUCGAAGGAGGUUUUCCAAGAGAAAUUGCCCGAAAAAGUUAGGAAAAUAAGCAAGUAGUUUCUUUUUCCAUGGGCUCAUAACUUCAAUAGAAGAUAUGAUACCUACAGAUGUAAAUGGACUUGCUGCUAAAUCUCCGACAUGAAAAAUCGCAUCACCAAUUCACCG